rnacentral:lncRNA from 1 species
CAAUGGGAAUGCAUAGGGGUAAAGGUGUGUGUGGGGGGGAAUCACAGGUGGUAGAGCUGGAGGGGAGCAGAGUGCUCAGGCCAUUACCAUCCCGCUCUCUCCACUGGCUGAGGAUUUUCCCCACUUUUUCUUCCCCUUUUCCCAGCAACCCAAAAGGAACACUUUCUCCCUUCUCUGUUUGUGAUAAAGGGGGACAGUCAGAUUGGAAGAUGACAAAGCAAGGAUGGCAAUGGAAUAUAUACUGCUGUUAAGGAGGAAGGAGUAAUAACAGUUCAUGAGGAAAACAAAACAAAACAAAACAACAAGAAAUUAAAAUGUAAUUCUUGACUCUAUGCAAGAACAUUAAUAAUAUUAAUCUAUAAUCUGGAUUUGUAUAAAUCAGGAUUAAAUAUCUGUCUUUUUUAUCUAAUUUACUAGUGUUGAAAAACUAAUUCAAGUGUUAGUUUACCUUUUUCCUAAAGAUUGGAAGAUGAUAAAGCAAGGAUGGAGAUGGAAUACAUACUACUGUUAAGGAGGAAGGAGUAGUAAUAGUUCAUGAGGAAAACAAAACAAAACAAAACAAGAAGAAAUUAAAAUGUAAUUCGUGACUGUGUGCAAGAACAUUAAUAAUAUUAAUGUAUAAUCUGGAUCUGUAUAAGCACAGAAUAAUAGUGGGAAAAGAGUGCUUAAAGAUUAUCUAGUUCAUAUUCAACAUCACAUCACCCUUGAAUAGUGAUAUCCCUUUCUUAUUAGCUGACUUUUAUUAAUAGAUUUAGGGAAAAAUGUGAGAGAAAUACUUAUAAAGUUAUCUACAAAGAAAACGCGAGAGAAAUACUUUUCAUCCACAGAGAAAAGAAACGCUAAGUAAAUUGUGUUUAACUAUCAUCAUUUGCAGAAUUUAAUUUGGUGACUGUGGAUCAAUUGCAUAUUACCUAAUUUUGGCUUAGAUGGCCUGACUGUGGAAUUCAUUUCCUCAACAUGAG